rnacentral:rRNA from 1 species
GACGAAGGGGGCAAGCGUUGUUCGGAAUUACUGGGCGUAAAGGGCGCGUAGGCGGUCCUUUAAGUCAGGUGUGAAAGCCCUGGGCUCAACCUGGGAAUGGCACUUGAUACUGGGAGACUAGAGAGCGGGAGAGGAUGGUGGAAUUCCCAGUGUAGAGGUGAAAUUCGUAGAUAUUGGGAAGAACACCGGUGGCGAAGGCGGCCAUCUGGACCGUAUCUGACGCUGAGGCGCGAAAGCGUGGGGAGCAAACAGGAUUAGAAACCCCCGUAGUCC